UGCCCAGCAACUCCUAUCCCUACCUCCACGUGGUACUGGCUGGAAACUAUGAGCAACCUUAGAGGAGAUCGGGUAACGAACCCCGGUGGGAAAUAUGGUCAUAGGCUGACAGGGAAGG
rnacentral:ribozyme from 1 species